UACGGAGGGUGCAAGCGUUAUCCGGAUUCACUGGGUUUAAAGGGUGCGUAGGUGGGCAGUUAAGUCAGUGGUGAAAUCUCCGGGCUCAACCCGGAAACUGCCAUUGAUACUAUCUGUCUUGAAUAUCGUGGAGGUAAGCGGAAUAUGUCAUGUAGCGGUGAAAUGCUUAGAUAUGACAUAGAACACCAAUUGCGAAGGCAGCUUACUACCCGAAUAUUGACACUGAGGCACGAAGGCGUGGGGAUCAAACAGG
rnacentral:rRNA from 1 species